CUCAGACACUAUCAUUUUGUGCAAAUCAUCUGAUUGAACUGGUCUUCCGUUUAGAUACCAUGACACAUCAGGAGCUGGCAGUCCACUCACCUUGAAACAAAAAUACAAGGAGAUGACAGAAUUUUAAGAUGUGGAGACAAAAGCACAAAGAGGUUACAUGAGUUGUCUAAGGUUACAUGGUUGAAACGUGGCAGAGCCAGGAUUCAAACCCUGCUCAGCUUGGCUCCAGAAUUUGUGUUCUUAUCCAUCGUACACACUGCUUUUCAAGCUAUGUGGCAAGCUAUGAGGUAGAAAGAGGACAAUUUUCAUAACUUAGUUAUCCCAUUGUUGAUUUCCCCCCAAUACUUUUGAAUUCUUCUCUUACUUUGAAGUCCAUUCUGCAGAAUCUUCCUUCUUCAAUUGACAUGUUCUCUGGCACUUGAAGGAAACGUGGUGGGUAAAAUUUCUCCUGGAUUGCAUCCUGAUCAUUCACAUCUCCCCUUGAGGAUGAUCUACUUCUACAAAAAUAUUUUAAUAAUAACUAUGCAUAAAUGUU